rnacentral:rRNA from 2 species
GGUUGACCUCGGAUCAGGUAGGGAUACCCGCUGAACUUAAGCAUAUCAAUAAGCGGAGGAAAAGAAACCAACAGGGAUUGCCUCAGUAACGGCGAGUGAAGCGGCAAGAGCUCAAAUUUGAAAGCUGGCCCCCUCGGGGUCCGCGUUGUAAUUUGCAGAGGAUGCUUCGGGUGCAGCCCCCGUCUAAGUGCCCUGGAACGGGCCGUCAUAGAGGGUGAGAAUCCCGUCUGGGACGGGGUGUCUGCGUCCGUGUGAAGCUCCUUCGACGAGUCGAGUUGUUUGGGAAUGCAGCUCUAAAUGGGUGGUAAAUUUCAUCUAAAGCUAAAUACUGGCCGGAGACCGAUAGCGCACAAGUAGAGUGAUCGAAAGAUGAAAAGCACUUUGAAAAGAGAGUUAAACAGCACGUGAAAUUGUUGAAAGGGAAGCGUUUGCGACCAGACUCGCCCGCGGGGUUCAGCCGGCAUUCGUGCCGGUGUACUUCCCCGUGGGCGGGCCAGCGUCGGUUUGGGCGGCCGGUCAAAGGCCCUCGGAAUGUAUCACCUCUCGGGGUGUCUUAUAGCCGAGGGUGCAAUGCGGCCUGCCCGGACCGAGGAACGCGCUUCGGCUCGGACGCUGGCGUAAUGGUCGUAAAUGACC